GACGAACGCUGGCGGCGUGCUUAACACAUGCAAGUCGAACGGUAAGGCCCUUCGGGGUACACGAGUGGCGAACGGGUGAGUAACACGUGGGUGAUCUGCCCUGCACUUCGGGAUAAGCCUGGGAAACUGGGUCUAAUACCGGAUAGGACCAUGCGCUUCACGGUGUGGGAUGGGCCCGCGGCCUAUCAGCUUGUUGGUGGGGUGAUGGCCUACCAAGGCGACGACGGGUAGCCGGCCUGAGAGGGUGACCGGCCACACUGGGACUGAGAUACGGCCCAGACUCCUACGGGAGGCAGCAGUGGGGAAUAUUGCACAAUGGGCGCAAGCCUGAUGCAGCGACGCCGCGUGAGGGAUGACGGCCUUCGGGUUGUAAACCUCUUUCAGCACCGACGAAGCGCAAGUGACGGUAGGUGCAGAAGAAGGACCGGCCAACUACGUGCCAGCAGCCGCCGUAA
rnacentral:rRNA from 1 species